rfam:Providencia rettgeri DSM 1131 genomic scaffold Scfld25, whole genome shotgun sequence.
CUUUAACAAUCUGGAACAAGCUGAAAAUUGAAAACAACGCACAUUGUUUAUCGCUUAAACAAUGUGAGAGUCUCUCAAAAUUUCAGACCUGAAAUUUUCGG